AGUGGGGACGUCUAGGUAAACUAGCCUGCGCAAGCAGAGAGGAAGGUGGGGAGUGACGUCAAAUCAGCACGGCCCUUACGUCCAGGGCCACACACGUGCUACAAUGGCCGAUACAGAGGGCAGCUACCUGGUGACAGGAUGCAAAUCUCGAAAGUCGGUCUCAGUUCGGAUCGGAGUCUGCAACUCGACUCCGUGAAGUUGGAUUCGCUAGUAAUCGCGCAUCAGCCAUGGCGCGGUGAAUACGUUCCCGGGCCUU
rnacentral:rRNA from 1 species